rnacentral:rRNA from 1 species
UACGGGGGGGGCAAGCGUUGUUCGGAAUUACUGGGCGUAAAGGGCUCGUAGGCGGCCAACUAAGUCGGACGUGAAAUCCCCAGGCUCAACCUGGGAACUGCGUCCGAUACUGGAUGGCUUGAAUCCGGGAGAGGGAUGCAGAAUUCCAGGUGUAGCGGUGAAAUGCGUAGAUAUCUGGAGGAAUACCGGUGGCGAAGGCGGCAUCCUGGACCGAGAUUGACACUGAGGAGCGAAAGCCAGGGGAGCAAACGGG